rnacentral:rRNA from 1 species
GAUCCUGGCUCAGAAUCAACGCUGGCGGCGUGCCUAACACAUGCAAGUCGAACGAGAAAGUGGUAGCAAUACCAUGAGUAAAGUGGCGCACGGGUGAGUAACACGUGACUAACCUACCCUGGAGUACGGAAUAACCUCGGGAAACCGGGGCUAAUACCGUAUGACACCGAGAGGUCAAAGGAGCAAUUCGCUCUGGGAGGGGGUCGCGGCUGAUUAGCUAGUUGGUAGGGUAAUGGCCUACCAAGGCGACGAUCAGUAUCCGGCCUGAGAGGGCGCACGGACACACUGGAACUGAAACACGGUCCAGACUCCUACGGGAGGCA